UUGGAGAUUCAUAAAUAGCACAAGAUGCAGCUUUGCGUGAAAAGAUACCAACAGCUACAUUAAGUAAACAACAAAAUAAUUUUGACACGUGUGAUAAAUUGGAAUGAACACUUAAUUUGCUUCUUAAAAAAAAGUUAACAAUCUAAUUAUUUUAUUAUCAUAGUUUGACUCCUAAUAUUUUUGUACGGAGACCCAAUCCCAUCGACUAUCAUAUCAAAAGAACUACGACGACAGCAACAAUAAUUCGGACGCGACUCAAUCCCGUGGACUGCACAAU
rnacentral:lncRNA from 1 species